GCUCUGUUGUUAGGAAGAACGAGUGUGAGAAUGGAAAGUUCAUACUGUGACGGUACUUAACCAGAAAGGGACGGCUAACUACGUGCCAGCAGCCGCGGUAAUACGUAGGUCCCGAGCGUUGUCCGGAUUUAUUGGGCGUAAAGCGAGCGCAGGCGGUUAGAAAAGUCUGAAGUGAAAGGCAGUGGCUCAACCAUUGUAGGCUUUGGAAACUGUUUAACUUGAGUGCAGAAGGGGAGAGUGGAAUUCCAUGUGUAGCGGUGAAAUGCGUAGAUAUAUGGAGGAACACCGGUGGCGAAAGCGGCUCUCUGGUCUGUAACUGACGCUGAGGCUCGAAAGCGUGGGGAGCGAACAGGAUUAGAUACCCUGGUAGUCCACGCCGUAAACGAUGAGUGCUAGGUGUUAGGUCCUUUCCGGGACUUAGUGCCGCAGCUAACGCAUUAAGCACUCCGCCUGGGGAGUACGACCGCAAGGUUGAAACUCAAAGGAAUUGACGGGGGCCCGCACAAGCGGUGGAGCAUGUGGUUUAAUUCGAAGCAACGCGAAGAACCUUACCAGGUCUUGACAUCCCGAUGCUAUUUCUAGAGAUAGGAAGUUUCUUCGGAACAUCGGUGACAGGUGGUGCAUGGUUGUCGUCAGCUCGUGUCGUGAGAUGUUGGGUUAAGUCCCGCAACGAGCGCAACCCUUAUUGUUAGUUGCCAUCAUUGAGUUGGGCACUCUAGCGAGACUGCCGGUAAUAAACCGGAGGAAGGUGGGGAUGACGUCAAAUCAUCAUGCCCCUUAUGACCUGGGCUACACACGUGCUACAAUGGCUGGUACAACGAGUCGCAAGCCGGUGACGGCAAGCUAAUCUCUGAAAGCCAGUCUCAGUUCGGAUUGUAGGCUGCAACUCGCCUACAUGAAGUCGGAAUCGCUAGUAAUCGCGGAUCAGCACGCCGCGGUGAAUACGUUCCCGGGCCUUGUACACACCGCCCGUCACACCACGAGAGUUUGUAACACCCGAAGUCGGUGAGGUAACCGUAAGGAGCCAGCCGCCUAAG
rnacentral:rRNA from 1 species